rnacentral:other from 1 species
CACUGGCCAAGACAACAGUGACCGGAGGACCUGCCUUUGCGGCUCCGAGAGGUAAGCGCCGCGGCCUGCUCUUGCCAGACCUCCUUUGAGCCUGUCUCGUGGCUCCUCCUGACCCGGGGGGCUUCUGUCGCCCUCAGAUCGGAACGCCGCCGCGCUCCGGGACUACAGCCUGUUGCUGGACUUCGAGACUGCAGACGGACCGACCGCUGAGCACUGGCCCACAGCGCCGGCAAGAUGAAGUUCCCUAUGGUGGCGGCGGCGCUGCUG